rnacentral:rRNA from 1 species
GCAAGUCGAACGGUAACAUUUCUAGCUUGCUAGAAGAUGACGAGUGGCGGACGGGUGAGUAAUGCUUGGGAACUUGCCUUUGCGAGGGGGAUAACAGUUGGAAACGACUGCUAAUACCGCAUAAUGUCUUCGGACCAAACGGGGCUCCGGCUCCGGCGCAAAGAGAGGCCCAAGUGAGAUUAGCUAGUUGGUAAGGUAACGGCUUACCAAGGCGACGAUCUCUAGCUGUUCUGAGAGGAGGAUCAGCCACACUGGGACUGAGACACGGCCCAGACUCCUACGGGAGGCAGCAGUGGGGAAUAUUGCACAAUGGGGGGAACCCUGAUGCAGCCAUGCCGCGUGUGUGAAGAAGGCCUUCGGGUUGUAAAGCACUUUCAGUUGUGAGGAAAAGUUAGUAGUUAAUACCUGCUAGCCGUGACGUUAACAACAGAAGAAGCACCGGCUAACUCCGUGCCAGCAGCCGCGGUAAUACGGAGGGUGCGAGCGUUAAUCGGAAUUACUGGGCGUAAAGCGCACGCAGGCGGUUUGUUAAGCUAGAUGUGAAAGCCCCGGGCUCA